rnacentral:rRNA from 1 species
UAGCUUACACAUGCAAGCAUCCGCACACCCGUGAAAACGCCCACUACCUUCUAACAAGAGAUGGAGCUGGUAUCAGGCACAUCAAUACGCCCAAAACACCUAGCAACGCCACGCCCUCAAGGGUUAUCAGCAGUGAUAAACAUUGAACAUGAGCGCCAACUCGAUUCAGCUAUAGAACAUAGGGUCGGCAAAUUUAGUGCCAGUCGCCGCGGCCAAACUAUUGACCCAAAUUGAUUUUCAUCUAACGCUAGUGUUUUUAAGCAUCACCCCACUAGAGUCAAACCCACAUAGAGCCGUGGCAAGCCCAUGAAAAGAAGAUCAAAAACGAAAGUUACUCUACUACCAAACUUAAAUACACGAAAAUCUGGACCCAAACUAGGAUUAGAUACCCUACUAUGCCAGAUAGUAAACACCUACUACCGGGAACUACGAGCAAAGCUUAAAACCCAAAGGACUUGACGGCAUCUCACAUCCCUCUAGAGGAGCCUGUCCUAUAAACGAUAAUCCCCGAUCAACCUCACCACAUUUUGCCUUUCAGCCUGUAUACUUCCGUCGUCCACUUACCGCGUGAGCAACUCAUAGUAAGCCCACUGCCUUUCGCCUUCCACCUUUCGCAGAUACGUCAGGUCAAAGUGCAGCAAAUAAAGUGGGAAGCGGUGGGAUACACUCUCUAACUAUAGAAAACACGAAGAUAACAUGAAAUCACCAUCAGAAGGUGGAUUUAGCAGUAAAAGGAGAAUAGAUUUCUCCUUUUAAUAUGGUUCUGGGAUUUGU